UCCGCAGUAGCUCUCAGUGGUAGAGCUAUCGGCUGUUAACCGAUCGGUCGUAGGUUCGAAUCCUAGUUCGAAUCCUACCUGCGGAGCCA
rnacentral:tRNA from 1 species